rnacentral:rRNA from 1 species
GAUGAACGCUAGCUACAGGCUUAACACAUGCAAGUCGCGGGGCAGCAUGGGGGUUGCUUGCAACCCCUGAUGGCGACCGGCGCACGGGUGAGUAACGCGUAUCCAACCUGCCCUUCACCACGGGAUAACCCGGCGAAAGUCGGACUAAUAGCGUAUGUGGUCCAUUGACGGCAUCCGAUUUGGACGAAAGGCUUGGCGGUGAAAGGAUGGGGAUGCGUCCGAUUAGCUUGACGGCGGGGUAAAGGCCCACCGAGGCUGCGAUCAGGAGGGGGCCUGAGAGGAUGACUGGGCAGAGGGGGACUGAGACACGGCGCAAGCGGCUAAGGGAGGCAGCAGGUGUGAAUAUUGGACAAGGUGCGCAAGCCUGAUCCAGCCAUGCCGCGUGAGGGAUGAAGGACGUAGGGUGGGAAAGCUCUUUCACCGGAGAAGAUAAUGACGGUAGCCGGAGAAGAAGCCCCGGCUAACUUCGUG